CCUGGGUCUAUCCUUCCAUGGAAUAAAAGGUCUUGUGGAGUCUUACAACAUUUUUUCUGAAAAUUUUCAAAAGCCCUUGAUGGGGACCCUUGAUUCAUCCCCCAGAACAGGUAUCUGAGGGAUACAGAGUGCUGAAGUCCUUACUGGAUAGAAAAUUUAAUGAUUCUAGGCAGUUGGCUAUUCCAAAAAAAUAAUAUAAUUAUCUGACCAUUUAUAAUCUGUUUUAAUACACUAUCCAAAC